ensembl:lncRNA
CAGCCCUCCUCCUCUUUAAUAGAGUUGAUCAAUAACCUGCUGUUGACCCCUGGGCGACCUCUGACCCUCCAGCAGCUGAUUGAUGAAGCUCAUUUCACUUAUUGAUCGUUUUUAUUGUUGCUGUCUGAGCGGCUGCAGAACGAAGCGAAGAUGAAUCAGCGGUUUGGAUCGGCCUCGGGGCGUCUGAGAGGAGGUUGGAGGUCACGGAGGGUCGAGAUGAAGAGAUGGAGAGCAGACGGUGGAACAUCUGAGAGGCUUCAUGAAGAGGAGAAGAUCUGUGCAGGUUCUGGAACUGAAGCAGAAAAUUCAGAGAACUAGAACCUGCUGCUGGUCUGAAAUCCUCUAAAAUACUAGAAACUAUUCACUGAUGCUUUUAUUUCCUGUCUCUGUAGUGGUUCAAACUGUGCUAGAACCACUUUAACAAUUCAUAGAACCUUGUUUAUCAUCACUAGAACCCUCUCCAUAUGACUCUUAUGAACGUCUUAAUGGUCACUAAAGUAUUAGCAAUGACUCCUACAUUCUAGAACUACAACUAGAACAUUCUU